UUGUGUUUGAAUCCUGAGAGGUUGCGUUUCAAAUAACUGAUAACACCUAUCACUGUUUCAGGAAACACCGCAUGCGCGUAGGACAAGGGCUGUUGCAUCUUUCACACGAAAGCACGACUUUUCUUUGUUCGCGCGAAUCAACCGCUGGAUCACACAAUGGUUGCUUCGAGGUCUGCACAUGUAGAUGGAUGAAUAAAAAAAUUUAGAGUACUUUGAGAGUUGUGUAGA
rnacentral:lncRNA from 1 species